AAUCAGGCCUCUCUUUAAUAAUGACAAAAAGUUAUGAGAGAAAUGUUAAGCUUGCUGAUAGUUCUACCAUGAGGACUCAAAAUCACGCGCGGCUGGCCGCCAAUCACCAAUCACCAGCUACCAAUCACCUGCCUACACCUGCUCUAUAAAGAGUAGUCUAACAUGUUUUUGCUGCUCAGGUCUUCGUUCGACGCAUGCUGCUGCUUUACUGUGCUUCUGAUUAUCUCGCAUAUCUCGUCGCUUAGUUGCUACGUCGGUUAAUACACACCAAGAGGUCAUAACUUUGGAUCGUGCUGGUCGGCCUACUACUUCUGGUCCGGGCAAGUGAGCGCAGAAAGCCGUUCGUUUUGGUCCCCGGUAUCCUCAACAACACCACCAACAAGUUCCCAACACGGACAUCCGCCUGGUUCUACAAACCCUCGCCGAGUUGGUGCAAAGCAUUGGCGCCAGGAUGGGCGCCGUCGAAACACCAUGCGGAACUCCCGGACGGGUCCAGGCCCCCAACCCGCUGUCGUCAGUCGCCACGGCGCCUUUCUACUUCCAGCAACCAUCAGGCUCGGCUUCCUCCGCCUUCACAGGCUACGCACCUGGCACGUGCCCUGCUACCAUGGCUACUGCAGUCCCUGUAGCGUAUUCUCUCUCACAGCUCUACCAGUCCAGCUUCAGGAUGCGGCUCCCUCGGUCGGGUUAGGGGGUUUCUUCCAAGGGCAAUGGUUUGCUGAGAGAUGGCCAGUCGAAGCUGGCACAUUUGCCCUCGGGUCAGAGUCGUCUGCGCUGUUCGAGCUUUACCCUAUCGUAGCAGCUAGCUUUCUGUGGGGCAAAGCAUGGCGGCGUUAACGUAUAACCAUGUUUUGCGAUAACAAAGCAGCGUCAAAACGGCUGGGAAGGUGGUCUUCCACAGCAUACGGAUUUAACAUCCGGUUGAAUUCGGUGAGUUUGUUGCACACGUCGGUGUGGUACAACACAGAACUCUACGUUCGCAAUCAAAGAUUCAUAAUUAUCUUUAUACCGUGUACUAAAAAAUGUGUACGUUUUCUCUUCAUAACGCCACCUCAAGCGUUUUAUUAGCCGUUUUCUGUUAUUACUUUUUGCUGGAGAAGGAGGGGUGGGCAGCUGAAUGGAGUAGUAGCGAGACAUGUUGUUUCGGCCUGGCAUUCGAGAGGGCCUAGUGCACUGUUCGGUUAACUUCUUGUGUCUGAGGUUUUUCCCUUCACUUUAACAUGAAUGAAGUUGAUGGGUUUUAGGCACUGUUGUAACUGAUUAUUAUUUUAUUGACGAAGGGACUUUUAGAUUGGUUCAGCUGCUGCUCACUAACUCUCACGUUCCUCUGCUCGCGAUGCGAUUCACAUAUCGAUCAAUUUAUUCAAAAGAUCCAAAGACAAAGAACAGGUACAUUAUGGUAUCAUUUUAUAUUAUUAUUUAUAGUCUUAUUGUUAAUAGCUCAGUCGCGAAAUAGCGACUGAGAUCCUUGUCCACUUAAUAGCGACCCCGGAGAGUGAAUCGACCACCUACAGCACGAAAGCACUCGUGGCUCGCUGCGUAACAGCUGCAGAGUGCUCUAGAUUUCAAUUGAUCUCGCUGAUGGUAUUUUUAAGCUCAAUUGCUUUUACGUGAUUCAUCGAUCCCGCUGACGGUUUUUAAGCUUAUCGUUUGACGGGAUUUAUGAUUGACUCUUAAUAUGUUGUAUAUUGGGUAUGCCUUUUAUUAUCUUCCAGAAGCAGUAUAGAUCCUUGUCCACUUCUUCUACGGCGGGUAUGUAUGCUCUCAUUACCCCCUUUCGCUAUUCUAUUUUUGGGGUCGGCUCCGCCCCUGCUAGUCCUGGCAGGAUACGCCGAGUCCGCACGUCACCCUGGAUCAGUGACGGCAC
ensembl:lncRNA